rnacentral:rRNA from 1 species
AGAGUUUGAUCAUGGCUCAGGAUGAACGCUAGCUACAGGCUUAACACAUGCAAGUCGAGGGGAAACGAUAGAGAAAGCUUGCUUUUUCUAGGCGUCGACCGGCGCACGGGUGAGCAACGCGUAUCCAACCUGCCCACCACUUGGGGAUAACCUUGCGAAAGUAAGACUAAUACCCAAUGACGUCUCUAGAAGACAUCUGAAAGGGAUUAAAGAUUUAUCGGUGAUGGAUGGGGAUGCGUCUGAUUAGCUUGUUGGCGGGGUAACGGCCCACCAAGGCAACGAUCAGUAGGGGUUCUGAGAGGAAGGUCCCCCACAUUGGAACUGAGACACGGUCCAAACUCCUACGGGAGGCAGCAGUGAGGAAUAUUGGUCAAUGGGCGAGAGCCUGAACCAGCCAAGUAGCGUGCAGGAUGACGGCCCUAUGGGUUGUAAACUGCUUUUAUAAGGGAAUAAAGUGAGUCUCGUGAGGCUUUUUGCAUGUACCUUAUGAAUAAGGACCGGCUAAUUCCGUGCCAGCAGCCGCGGUAAUACGGAAGGUCCGGGCGUUAUCCGGAUUUAUUGGGUUUAAAGGGAGCGUAGGCCGGAGAUUAAGCGUGUUGUGAAAUGUAGAUGCUCAACAUCUGCACUGCAGCGCGAACUGGUUUCCUCGAGUACGCACAAAGUGGGCGGAAUUCGUGGUGUAGCGGUGAAAUGCUUAGAUAUCACGAAGAACUCCGAUUGCGAAGGCAGCUCACUGGAGCGCAACUGACGCUGAAGCUCGAAAGUGCGGGUAUCGAACAGGAUUAGAUACCCUGGUAGUCCGCACGGUAAACGAUGGAUGCCCGCUGUUGGUCUGAAUAGGUCAGCGGCCAAGCGAAAGCAUUAAGCAUCCCA